CCAAUAGCGUAUAUUAAAGUUGUUGCAGUUAAAAAGCUCGUAGUUGAAUUUCGGGAUUGGCGCAUCGGUCGUGCCUCACGGGGUAUGAACUGGUGCAGUCAAUUUCUCACCUUCUGGAGAACCGCGAUGUCCUUAAUUGGAUGCCGCGGGGAACCAGGACCUUUACUUUGAAAAAAUUAGAGUGUUUACAGCAGGCAUUUUUGCUUGAAUACAUUGGCAUGGAAUAAUAAAAUAGGACGGCAUGGUUCUAUUUUGUUGGUUUCUAGGACCACCGUAAUGAUUAAUAGGGAUAGUUGGGGGCAUUAGUAUUCAAUUGUCAGAGGUGAAAUUCUUGGAUUUAUUGAAGACUAACUACUGCGAAAGCAUUUGCCAAGGAUGUUUUCAUUAAUCAAGAACGAAAGUUAGGGGAUCGAAGACGAUCAGAUACCGUCGUAGUCUUAACCAUAAACUAUGCCGACUAGGAAUCAGACGAUGUUAAUUUUUUAAUGACUCGUUUGGCACCUUACG
rnacentral:rRNA from 1 species